GGAAUGCAGGUACACCUCUAGGACAACCGCGGCCGCCGCUUCGAGCAGGAGGUCGGCGUGAAGGAGGAGCGCGGCAAGCGGGAGUUUGGCAUCUUCUGUCCUCUGCCCCGUCGCACCACCGUGGUUGCGCCGCCAACGUCCAGACGACGGCCCUCUCCUGCCGCUAGAUGCCUCCGCUGAGACGACGCUGCCAGAGGCAACGACCAGCAGCCUCACCGGUGCCCUCGCGCGCGAGCGGACAGGCGCCGGAAGAAUUUGGUUCCAGCGCUGCUGCAGGUCGCGCUCGCGUUGCUGCUCUACAUCGGCCUCGGUCUCCCCGAGGCGUCGCCGCCGUUUCUGUUCAGACUGUAUGUGAAGUGCAGAGUACAUUGCUGAACUGAACCCCUAAAUUUCUGAAGAUUCUGAAGUUUUUGGUAAUUGCAUGUUCGUUCGGUGUGCGAGGAGGUGGUCUGACGAGCGGGAGACAAGUCACCUGGCCAACUGGGCAAGCACGGCAACACGGAGGAGCUCCCGAUGAUUCAUGUCAGAUGGGUGACGGUGCUCCAGGUCCAGGUAGCCAGAACACAAAGAAUCAGACCAAAAUACGUGAUACAAAUUAUUUGUUGUGGAAGGUGCUCGUUGUAAUACAGAAUGGGAACAAAAAUCGCCUGCAGUUUGCAGGAUGGGAAGCACACGACUGGAUAUAUACCUGAAGAAGCCAUUAGGGGACAAGAGAGGUUACUUCCUUGUGAUUUGGAGAAUUCACCUCUGCUUCUACCAACAACAGAUGGUAACAAUCAUGAUUGAUGCCAAACCUCAGCAGACAUGAUUCCAUGGUGGCAGUGGAUGCUGUCCCCUGUCUGGCCGAAACCGCUGCUGGCUUCGAUAAACACACCAUCAUCAGUUAUUCCAACAGUCUCAAUAAGAGAUUGCUUUGGGGGAUCCUUGGUGGGUAUAAAUACGGAGCUCAGUGGGUUGUCUGACAUCCCUUUAC